UGUUGGGGUGAGUUUUUUUUAUCCCCUUACCCUGGAUUUCCGUGUAAUGCAAAGAUUUUUCAGAAGUAACUUUGGUUGAAAAAAUUGAGUUUCAGUUUGUUUAAGUCACAGACUCAAAAAUCUCAUUCUUCCUUUAAGGGCCAGUCUUUUACAUCUAACUUUGAAGUGUAGCCUACAAAUCUUUCUGUUCUAUUUGUGAUUCUAGAAAAUGUUCACAAUCAUUUUAAGGGGCCUUUGGGUUAACACUUGAUCCAUUUGCAAUCUUAACUCAUAUGAAGAUUUUAAAUUGAGUUUAUGAAUUAUAUUCAGUGUCCUUUAGUUACUGCAGUUUUCUGAUUAACAAAAUCUUCCAU
rnacentral:lncRNA from 1 species